rnacentral:rRNA from 1 species
GACGAACGCUGGCGGCGUGCCUAAUACAUGCAAGUUGAGCGCUGAAGGUUGGUACUUGUACCAACUGGAUGAGCAGCGAACGGGUGAGUAACGCGUGGGGAAUCUGCCUUUGAGCGGGGGACAACAUUUGGAAACGAAUGCUAAUACCGCAUAAAAACUUUAAACACAAGUUUUCAGUAUGAAAGAUGCAAUUGCAUCACUCAAAGAUGAUCCCGCGUUGUAUUAGCUAGUUGGUGAGGUAAAGGCUCACCAAGGCGAUGAUACAUAGCCGACCUGAGAGGGUGAUCGGCCACAUUGGGACUGAGACACGGCCCAAACUCCUACGGGAGGCAGCAGUAGGGAAUCUUCGGCAAUGGACGAAAGUCUGACCGAGCAACGCCGCGUGAGUGAAGAAGGUUUUCGGAUCGUAAAACUCUGUUGGUAGAGAAGAACGUUGGUGAGAGUGGAAAGCUCAUCAAGUGACGGUAACUACCCAGAAAGGGACGGCUAACUACGUG